UGACGCUGGCGGCAGGCCUAACACAUGCAAGUCGAGCGGCAGCGGGAAAGUAGCUUGCUACUUUUGCCGGCGAGCGGCGGACGGGUGAGUAAUGCCUGGGGAUCUGCCCAGUCGAGGGGGAUAACAGUUGGAAACGACUGCUAAUACCGCAUACGCCCUACGGGGGAAAGGAGGGGACCUUCGGGCCUUUCGCGAUUGGAUGAACCCAGGUGGGAUUAGCUAGUUGGUGAGGUAAUGGCUCACCAAGGCGACGAUCCCUAGCUGGUCUGAGAGGAUGAUCAGCCACACUGGAACUGAGACACGGUCCAGACUCCUACGGGAGGCAGCAGUGGGGAAUAUUGCACAAUGGGGGAAACCCUGAUGCAGCCAUGCCGCGUGUGUGAAGAAGGCCUUCGGGUUGUAAAGCACUUUCAGCGAGGAGGAAAGGUUGAUGCCUAAUACGCAUCAACUGUGACGUUACUCGCAGAAGAAGCACCGGCUAACUCCGUGCCAGCCGCCGCGGUAAUACGUCGUGACUGGGA
rnacentral:rRNA from 1 species